rnacentral:misc_RNA from 1 species
GUUCCACCUGCAUCUGUUGAAGUGCAGUUCAAAGAUGGAAGACAGCAAAAGCAAAACUUUCAACAUAAAGUAUUCAGAUGGGAUCGAACAACAGUUCACUUUUAUUAAAGAUAAGCAGCAAAACAACUUGGUAUUUUCUUGUGGACCUGCCUAUAGCAUCAAAUCAACUGUAAUUUCACCCUCAGUUAAAGCGAGAAGGACACAGAUAAUUUGGAAGUUUUUAGCAGCAAAAGUUAAUUUUACACUUAAAAUGGACCUGUUUGGCUGUCCUUCUGAACCAUUUGAAGGGCAAAACCCACAGUGUGGACCAAAGCCUAGUUUUUACAGAGUUAAUGAUGGCAAAACAUUUGAGUGUGUGCACUUAAAAUGUCCUCUGUCAUGUGGCUCACACCAACACUAUUACAAGAAAUUUAGUUGCCAAAAAAGUACUUGUGAUAAAACUGACCUCUGCAUUAGCAACCCUUGUGAUUUCCGUAAACUGUGUGUGGACUACCUAACCUAUCGCAGGUGCUAUUGUCUGAAAGAGGAUUGUUCCAUUGAAUCUGGUGCAUAUGUUUUGUUUGAUAAAGACGAGCUUAAUUUGUUUGAUACGGUUAGGCUUGAUAUAAUAACCCCUAGAGAUAUAUCAUCCAGUUACACUAUUUUCAUCAGUGGCAUCACCUGUAGACUUGACUUCAAAUCAUUCAAAAUCCAGCAAACCAGAAAAUGGUACUUCUGUUCCAGACUUGUGCAUAAAAUUACAAAAGGAGAAUACUUCACGUUUAAAUCUGAAUAUUGGAAGUGGUCUUACGCUGUGCCUAAAGUUAUUUUACCUCAACCAUUCAUAUAUGUCUGCUUAAGAUACAUUGAAAUCAAAGGUGCUUCACAUCAGAGUUUCGAUAAGCGUGUAUACAGCACGGUGGAAGAUAUUCGGUUCACAGUGUCUAAUGAAAGAGGCUGUGGCAGUGACUUUGAAAUAAUAAAAUAUAAAUGGACUUUCAGCCACUUCGAAUCAGAGACUUACAACUUCUGUAUUAGUGAUGACAGCUUUGAAAUGAUAUUUUCUUCAUCCACUGACAAUGGAGUUUUAGUUGUGAAAAAACAAACACUUUUAGGUGGAUAUUUCAAAGUCUGCCUGCAAGUUGAUGGCAUCGAUGGGAAGAAAAGCUACUCUGAAGUCAAUGUUACCUGUGGAUAUUUCAGAGUUAAACCAGUUCCAUUGGAGUUGGUUAUUAAGCCGCCUGGACUGCAUCAGACUGUUCUAACUACUCGUCGGGUACGACUUGAUGCUUCAGACAGCAAGGAUCCAAACAGUGAUGAUAAUUCAAGUCUCAGUUAUGAGUGGUUGUGUGAGCCAGUAAAUUCACUUCAUGAAUUGUGUGUUUUUAAGUCACAGAUGAAAUGUAUGUUUCCACACCAAGGACCAAUCCUGACAAUACCAGAAAACACGUUGCCUGUACUGAAGACAUUCAACAUCACGGUUAGGGUUAGCAAACCACGGAUACCUAGUGGGACAGCAACAGUGAUCAUCUUCGUGAGCGUUGGAAGCAAGCCAAACAUCCAGAUAAUCUGUCGUUUGAACUGUAAUACUACGAAAGUCCUUCCAUCUAAACUUCUGGCACUGGAAGUAAAUUGUGAAAACUGUGGGCCAUCUGGAUUGGUCGUAUCGGCAUAUGUAUGGAAACUAUCAAAACAAUCGGAUCUCUUACCCAUGCAGAUACUGCCAUUGGCAGACUGGGUGUCCAAGUCGCCGACUGGAUACAACAAAAAAACAAUGGUCUUGCCACCAGGGACACUCCAAGCAUCUUGCACCUACCAGUUUGAUCUUCACAUUUUCUAUAAGAAGAAUGAAUCAGUGGUGAAAGUUAAAUAUCGGUUUACCACCAACAAACCACCUAUUGGCGGAUCAUGUUCUGUAGAUCCGACGUCUGGCCAGGCUCUCAUCACCAAAUUCACCGUGUCCUGUCCUGGGUACAAGGAUAAUGACUCACCUUUAACAUACAGUGUCUACCUGAAGAAGAAAGGCAAAUCAGAUACUCUCUUGUAUCACGGAAACGAAGACACAACUAGUUUAAUACUUCCUGCGGGGCCACCACAGUCCGACUCAUGGCUCCAGUUAACAGUUUACAUUUCAGACUCUUUGGAUACCAGCACAAUGGUCUCGCGAAUGGUACAGGUUCGUAGUCCACGGGAUGUUACAAACCACAUGAUUGAAUUGUUGGCUGAAGCUACCGACAAAAUCCUUCAGGAGAAACCCUCAGUUUUUCUACAAAAAUCACUUGUCAUUGUGGAGAUGCUUCGGACAGUAAAACCUGAAGAAAAAGAACAGAAAAAAAAUAUUCGUGAGCGGUUGCUGAACAAUCUUAAGACUGUUAAAGCUGCAGACAAAGAAAUGCUUCUUCAGAUGAGUGACCUUGCAGAUGGCAUCAUCUCACAGGAAAACAACAUAUCAUCUAACAUGCAGAACCUUGCUUUGACUGUGUCCAUCAGACUGGCAGGUGCGUUAAAGGAGGUAUCGACAUGUCAACAUAUUUAUGCCAGAAAUAUUGCCAAGAAACAAUGCAAUACACUGGUGAGCCUGAUGGUCAAGGGAAGACAGAUGACAGAAGAUAGAGAUUUAAAACAGAUAGAGGCUAAAACCAAGCCUGUAUUGGAUGUUCUAGAGACCGUUGGUGACUGUUUGUUGGAAUCUAUCCAGUCGAUAAUAGAAGGACCAGUGAACGUUCAAUCAGAUCAGAUAUCCCUGACUGUUGAUCUGAUCAAGGCGACUGUUGAUGUAUUUCAUCUUACAGCUGAUUCUGAGGACGAUGCUAACCCAGGUGGCUCCAUUUCUUUCCCCAAUGACAUGAAGAGUGGAACAGACAAACCUUUCGACUUGCAGAUGAUGAUUAUGAAGACAAAUCCAUUUCAGUGGUCACCAACGGCAAAAAAAGUCAAUUUACCAGUGAUGAAGAUCUCGGUAAAAAAGGAUGGAAAAAGCCUUCAUCCAUCGAAUCUGUCUGUGCCGGCAGAUAUCUUCAUAUCAGCAAACUUAUCUAAUGUGAUGGAAGAAGACAAAAUAUACACCUUGAAUGUCUCAUACGACACUACCAGUCAUAAAGUGAAAAAUUCCAGUACUGUACGUGUAGUUAUUCCAGAAAUUAAAGGGAAAACACAGAUUGUGAAAAUUGUUCCUAUAAAUUCAUUGCUGAAACUAGAGGUGGUUUUGGGAGCUAGUGAAUCUGAAGUAAGCUUCAGGAAUCUCGAAUUGCAUGGGUUUGCCUGGCCAGUGGAAGAUGGAGCUCGCUUGACAUACAAGAACCAUAAACAAGAUCCACAUCUAUUAUUCUUACCAGAAGAUAUUCUUGGAAUGAACCACACUGAUUUCUAUCUUGCUGUUAGAGUUAAGAAAGGUCAGAUUCUUCAUGAUAAAGUUGAUGAAUCACGCAGACUGAAGAUUCAGAUUGGCAUACAGACAUUUACUGUUGAGUGUUCUUACUGGAGUGAGGCACAUGAAGAGUGGAGACAGGAUGGUUGUAUGGUCAGUCCCUUUACAACUGUAACAACUUUACACUGCUGGUGUAGUCAUCUGACUGUGUUUUCUGGUGGUAUUUUCAUUUCACCCAACACUGUCGAUCCAAUUGGUGCUACAGGCUUGUUCCUGACAUUUUUCGACAAUCCUGUGGUGGUCACCUUCAUUGUUGCCGUUUGGAUUCUGUACGCACUGCUGCUCAUCUGGUUACGCAGAGUAGAUCAGAAAGAUCUAAGAAAGACUGGUAUCACAAUGCUUGCUGACAACAUUCAUGGAGACCACUAUGUGUACAUGAUCUGCGUGGUGACUGGCUGGUGGGCGCAUGCCGGCACCACCUCCAGAGUGUCCAUGUACCUCUGUGGGGAGAGUGAAAGGUCUGAACAACAUGACCUGAUUGACAGCAAUAAGAAACUUUUCAUAGCUGGUGCUGAGAACUGGUUUCUACUAAAGACCAGCGGAAGUCUGGGACAGAUUAAAUCUGUGGUCAUAUGGCAUGACAACAGUGGAGAAAAACCAUCUUGGUACCUCAAUGAAAUUGUAGUCAAGGAUGUCCAGACUGAGGACAUAUGGCACUGUCUCUAUAAUAAAUGGCUCAGGGUCCAUAAAGGAAAUGGAACUCCUCAAGCUGACAUCCCUGCAGUUGAAAACGCAACCUUUGCCAAGAAGCGUUUCUACCAGUUCAUGCAGACAAUGAGUCGGGACUUGCGCGAUGAACACAUCUGGCUGAGCAUCUUCUCGAAACCUCCGACCAGCAAGUUCACACACGUCCAGCGUCUCACGUGUGCUCUGUCUCUUGUCCUGUCAAUGAUGCUCACCAGCAUAAUGUUCCACGGAAUUCCACAAGAUGAUCCCGAGGACCAGAUUGAUUUCGGAGAUUUCCACUUCUCACUGGUGGAUUUUGUAAUUGGAAUCGAGAGUGCCCUGAUAGUGUUUCCUAUCAUUAUGAUCAUCAUCUUGUUGUUUAAGUUAAUCAAACCAAAACCACACACUGUACUGAAGUCAUACGAACCUGUGGGUGAUAAGAUGAAACUUCAUGAGAAAAAGAAAGAUAUAUUUUCAAAGUUAAGAUUGCCGUGGUACUUUGUUUAUGUUGCUUAUUUCGUAGCAGUCACAACCUCCCUUAUCUGCUCAUACUUUGUGAUGCUGUAUGGACUCGAGUACGGCUACAACAAAAGUGUGGCAUGGCUCAUUUCUUUCUUCACGUCAUUCUUCCAGAGUGCACUUGUUACAGAACCAGUCAAGGUUUUAACUAUAGCGUUCCUGUUCACCCUCAUAUUUAGACACAGUGUGCAGUAUACAACAGGUACACAGAGCGACCAUCUGUAAUAUUUAAAAACAAAGUGUCAGUUGGCAGGUUUUGAACCUAUUGCACUGAUUCACAUGGCAUUUGACUGUCCAGCAGUAUAUCCACGCGGCCAAAGUGGCUUCUACAAAAUAGAAGCACCUUAACCAGUAGUUAAGACUGUGUACUGUCAAAUACAAUUUUGCACAGCAAUGAUAUGCCUAUAUGGUAACACUCUACUGUGAACAACCAACUCCCUUUGACAUGUUUCAUUUUAUGAAGUAAAAAGGCGAGAUAAAGAUGAACAGGAUGAGAUCCUUUUACAAGAGGAUUAUGGAAGAAAAGCAUCUACAAACUCUAUAGCACCUAUAACAGAGCAAUACGAUUAUGGAAGAAAACUAUCUACAAACUCUGCAAUGCAAGACGAUUAUGG